rnacentral:rRNA from 1 species
AGAAUUUAGCAGAGAUGCUUUAGUGCCUUCGGGAACUCUGAGACAGGUGCUGCAUGGCUGUCGUCAGCUCGUGUUGUGAAAUGUUGGGUUAAGUCCCGNAACGAGCGCAACCCUUAUCCUUUGUUGCCAGCACGUAAUGGUGGGAACUCAAAGGAGACUGCCGGUGAUAAACCGGAGGAAGGUGGGGAUGACGUCAAGUCAUCAUGGCCCUUACGAGUAGGGCUACACACGUGCUACAAUGGCGCAUACAAAGAGAAGCGACCUCGCGAGAGCAAGCGGACCUCAUAAAGUGCGUCGUAGUCCGGAUUGGAGUCUGCAACUCGACUCCAUGAAGUCGGAAUCGCUAGUAAUCGUAAAUCAGAAUGUUACGGUGAAUACGUUCCCGGGCCUUGUACACACCGCCCGUCACACCAUGGGAGUGGGUUGCAAAAGAAGUAGAUAGCUUAACCUUCGGGGAGGGCGUUUACCACUUUGUGAUUCAUGACUGGGGUGAAGUCGUAACAAGGUAAGCGUAGUGCU